GGGUUUAAAAAGCCUUUUUAAGGUGGGGAGAAAAAGCUGAGGGUUUAAUACCUUUUUAGGUUUUGCCGUUCCCAACAAGAAGAAGCACCGGGUUAAUUCCGUGCCAGCAGCCGCGGUAAUACGGAGGGUGCAAGCGUUAAUCGGAAUUACUGGGCGUAAAGCGCGCGUAGGUGGCUAAGUCAGCCAGGUGUGAAAGCCCCGGGCUCAACCUGGGAACGGCAUCUGGAACUGCUUGGCUAGAGUGCAGGAGAGGAAGGUAGAAUUCCCGGUGUAGCGGUGAAAUGCGUAGAGAUCGGGAGGAAUACCAGUGGCGAAGGCGGCCUUCUGGACUGACACUGACACUGAGGUGCGAAAGCGUGGGUAGCAAACAGGAUUAGAUACCCUGGUAGUCCACGCCGUAAACGAUGUCAACUAGCCGUUGGGUCCCUUGAGGACUUAGUGGCGCAGCUAACGCAAUAAGUUGACCGCCUGGGGAGUACGGCCGCAAGGUUAAAACUCAAAUGAAUUGACGGGGGCCCGCACAAGCGGUGGAGCAUGUGGUUUAAUUCGAUGCAACGCGAAGAACCUUACCUACCCUUGACAUCCAGAGGACUUUCCAGAGAUGGAUUGGUGCCUUCGGGAACUCUGAGACAGGUGCUGCAUGGCUGUCGUCAGCUCGUGUUGUGAAAUGUUGGGUUAAGUCCCGUAACGAGCGCAACCCCUAUCCUUAUUUGCCAGCGAGUAAUGUCGGGAACUCUAAGGAGACUGCCGGUGACAAACCGGAGGAAGGUGGGGACGACGUCAAGUCAUCAUGGCCCUUACGGGUAGGGCUACACACGUGCUACAAUGGCAAGUACAAAGGGUUGCAAUACUGCGAAGUGGAGCCAAUCCCAUAAAGCUUGCCUCAGUCCGGAUUGGAGUCUGCAACUCGACUCCAUGAAGUCGGAAUCGCUAGUAAUCGUGGAUCAGAAUGCCACGGUGAAUACGUUCCCGGGCCUUGUACACACCGCCCGUCACACCAUGGGAGUGGACUGCACCAGAAGUGGUUAGCCUAACCUUCGGGAGGGCGAUCACCACGGUGUGGUUCAUGACUGGGGUGAAGUCGUAACAAGGUAACCGUA
rnacentral:rRNA from 1 species